AUUGAGCACGAGCCACAUCACAGGGAGCCGGGACGGACCAUGGACGAAACAGGAUCACGCAGAAUGAUACAUCUGCUUUCAGGAAGACCGAGGUGGGGGAAAGUGGAGUUGGGGUUUCGUUGGCUCCGACUCACUGGUAAACAAGGGUCCGGAUGCACUUCUCACACCCAGACACAGGAAUGUGAUCUUCUCUAGACUCAACAGAGAAAUGUAACUGCACAACGUCCUAAUAAGAUUUUAAUAAGAGCGGCUACAGUACGUCGUCCUUCGGCUGGUCCUCUUUGUCCUUUUCAGCUCUUUUAAGUGAUCGGGGCGAAGAAAUCCACUUACCUCCUGGAAAACAGCUGCACAGCACCUGGCCCAGAAUCAACAUUCAUCAACAGGUUUUGUAUCUUAGAUUUUUUUCCCCCCUCCUGCUUCAAGGCUUUGAAAGACUUGUUGGUAACGGAGUUUACCUCCUCUACGCCUUCAUAGCCCUGUACAAUGCUGCUUGAUCAAGACGCCACAAGGCAGCACCGUAAAGAGGCUGAACGCAAAGAGGAAUCAGACGACAGGGACACCGGACAGGGAAAGUAUUUUUCUCCACAGACCUGGUUAUAUACAAAGUCUUCUCAAAUCCUGUUAUAACGGCAAUGAGGUCCUGAUACCCAAAGUCUGACUUUAAUACAAACACCAAGCAAACAAGAUAUUGUUCGUAUGAUUCAAUUCAAGACCGUUAUGACUGUUUUAUUAGAAGUUCAUUCUACCCCCGCCCCCCCGGUGACUUACCUCAUUGAGAGCACACAUCCUGGUGAUGGAGCCGAUGUUGUUGGUGAUGGUGACCAGCGUUGCCCUUGCCAGGUCCGCUUUGGACACCGACUCCCUCUUCUCUUUGGACAUCAUGUUGC